CGGGCCUUGUUGUGAAUCUAAACAAAAUCAGUCAGUCGUCGUUUUGUUGCCGAGGGAGCAACGCGUGGAGAGUUCCGCGGUCGCGAGAGCAUGUCGCCCCAGUGAACGACUCGGCGCCGGCACCAUGCACGCGCUGUUCGGCGAACAGAGUCCGUAUGCGUACCGCGGAGGCGCCGCCGGAGGGUACUCGGCCGGCGUGGCGCCCUACGCCUACGAGCAGUACCGGUACGGGUACGGCGCGCCCUACCUGCAUCCGCACCAGCAGCAUGUCGGCGCACCCAAAGACAUGGUCAAGCCGCCCUACUCGUACAUCGCGCUCAUCGCGAUGGCCAUACAGAACGCGCCCGAGCGCCGGAUCACACUCAACGGCAUCUACCAGUUCAUCAUGGAACGGUUCCCCUACUACAGAGAGAACAAACAGGGCUGGCAGAAUUCCAUACGGCACAACUUGAGCCUUAAUGAGUGCUUCGUCAAAGUGGCAAGGGACGAUAAGAAACCUGGCAAAGGCAGUUAUUGGACACUCGACCCGGACUCGUAUAAUAUGUUCGACAAUGGUUCGUACCUGCGGCGGCGGCGUCGGUUUAAGAAAAAAGACGCCUUGAAAGAGAAAGAGGAGGCGCUGAAACGGCAGCAGCAACUGCAGCAGGCGCAGGAGGCGCUGGCGGCGCAGGAGGCCCUCUCCGCCGCCGACGCGCUCGGCCAGCAGCGCGACGUGAAGCCCGAUGUGAAGCCGCGCAUCUUCGAGUGCCGGCCCAAGCGCGAACCGGGCGCCGAGUGCGCCAGAUACGAAAAGCCGGUAGACUCACUAGACGAAUUCAGCGAGCCGCGCCUGCCCCCGUCGGCGGUGUACUGCUCGCCGCAGCCGUACUCGCUGGCGGCGGAAGAGUUCCGCGCGGCAACCUCGGGCUGGUACGCGGCGCCGGAGCCUCCCACUGAGCAGCUGCCGCCUGCCUUCCGGGACCUGUUCGAGCCGCCGAGUUGCCAGCUGGCGGGCUUCCGCGGCGGCUCGCCGACGCCGGAGUACCGGGCGUCGCCGCCGCACCAUCACUACCGCGCGCCGGCGCCCUCCUACUACCACCACCAGACGUGCGUGGCCGCCGCGCCGGCCCCCGCUCACAAGUCCUACUGAGACACCGCCCUCAGGAGGCCGGCAUCGCUCGGCGCCGAACGGAUUUAGCCGCGCGCGUCAGUUCCAGAGCGGAUAAAUAUAGCGCAGUAGCCGGAGAUGCCACGGAGGCAAGUGGCGGCGCAUCGAUAUCCACUGUUUACAGAUCGGCGGCCGACCCUGCCGCUUCCCGCUCCGUCCGCGCCUAUAGGUAUGACGGACCAAGGACAGCGGGAGGCUGAGUGCAGGGCGCAGUGAGGACUCGCGGAACUGUCGCGGAAAUGUGCGAACUCUUUCAAGUGAUAUUACGACACGGCUUCUAUUUAUAAAACAUGCUUUGCCACGUCUCCGGGUAUCUUGCGAGACGGUGGUAAUGCCACAAGACUUAUUUUAGGUAUGUAUAUAUGUUCACCGGUGGAUAUGCACGCGAACUCCGAGUAGCGGAGUUACGAAACAGUAUUAACUGAACGAAAAUGUAUAAACGUGUGGGAAUAUUUGAUUUGUAAACGAUUGUAGUUGUAUAUAAUAGGUGUAAUUUCAGUGUAAAGAGAGAGAUGCUUAGAGAAAUGUUUAUUGCCGAUAUUCUAGUCUAUUUGGUAUUCUCCGUAUAGGCAAUUCAAUUCAUACAUUAGCAUUAGAUCCGACGGUGAUUAGAAGGUACUAUUAUAUGCUUACUGAUAUUACGAUAAUUAUAUGAUGAGAAAUAUA